GGGGACGUAACAAAGCGACCCAGGAAUGCUUGGGCGUGCCUCCACCCACGCCGGCGUCGGCGGGCGUAUUUCGCCUCACAGUAGGUCGCCGCGACCCGUUGCUUUUGGGGACGUCGAAGGCCCGGACGGAUUGGUACCCUACCGGCUGGGGAUGCGGCUUCGGCUUCUCCUCUUGUCCGGUGGGCGAAACCGCCGGUGUCCUGGCUGCCCUGCGACGGUCGUAGAGACGAGCCCUCCCCUUCGGGGGGGCGGCUCUCGCGGCGUGCAAAAGGUCGGUGAUCCACCCGACCCGUCUUGAAACACGGACCAAGGAGUCUAACAUGUGUGCGAGUCAGUGGGCGCACUAAACCCAGAGGCGUAAUGAAAGUGACACGGGUUCGGCUGUCGCCUCGUGUGGCAGCCGGACUCAGGGCCGAUCCCUCACCGGUUGUCCUCGCCUCUCUCCCGCGUCUCGGUAAGCCGGGUGAGCUAUUUUCCCCGGCCGCUGCUGCGGGGCUCGGGGGAAGGCGGGGUGCGAUGGUGUCUGUAAAAAAGAGCCUGCUGUUGCAGGGGGGCGCAGGCCCGGGACUUGCCAGGACGCCGCGAGACUGUCACUUUGCUGUGAGGCUCUCGGGCCGAUCAGCGGGUCAUGCGUGCAGUCGGCAAGUACCAUGAGCAGACAUGUUGGGACCCGAAAGAUGGUGAACUAUGCCUGGCCAGGAUGAAGCCAGAGGAAACUCUGGUGGAGGUCCGUAGCGAUUCUGACGUGCAAAUCGAUCGUCGGAGCUGGGUAUAGGGGCGA
rnacentral:rRNA from 1 species